rnacentral:pre_miRNA from 1 species
UUAGAAUUUUAAGAGCAAAAAGUUUGUUUACAAAAACUAUUUACCCCUAAAAUUCUAAUC